rnacentral:rRNA from 1 species
GGGAAUAUUGGACAAUGGGCGCAAGCCUCAUCCAGCCAUGCCGCGUCAGUGAUGAAGGCCUUAGGGUUGUACAGCUCUUUCACCGGAGAAGAUAAUGACGGUAUCCGGAGAAGAAGCCCCGGCUACCUUCGUGCCAGCAGCCGCGGUAAUACGAAGGGGGCUAGCGUUGUUCGGAAUUACUGGGCGUACAGCGCACGUAGGCGGAUAUUUAAGUCAGGGGUGAAAUCCCAGAGCUCAACUCUGGAACUGCCUUUGAUACUGGGUAUCUUG